rnacentral:rRNA from 1 species
CGCUGGCGGCACGCCUAACACAUGCAAGUCGAACGAAGUAGCAAUACUUAGUGGCAGACGGGUGAGUAACAUGUAGGUAUCUACCCUUUGGCCUGGAAUAACACGAGGAAACUUGUGCUAAUACCGGAUAAGUCUUUACGGAGAAAGCUUUAUGCACCAUUGGAUGAGCCUGCACUUGAUUAGUUUGUUGGUGGGGUAAUGGCCUACCAAGACUUUGAUCAAUAGCUGAUUUGAGAGGAUGAUCAGCCACAUUGGGACUGAGACACGGCCCAAACUCCUACGGGAGGCAGCAGUGGGGAAUCUUGCACAAUGGAGGAAACUCUGAUGCAGCGAUGCCGCGUGAGUGAAGAAGGCCCUUGGGUUGUAAAGCUCUUUCGUCGGGGAAGAAAAUGACUGUACCCGAAUAAGAAGGUCCGGCUAACUUCGUGCCAGCAGCCGCGGUAAUACGAAGGGACCUAGCGUAGUUCGGAAUUACUGGGCUUAAAGAGUUCGUAGGUGGUUGAAAUAGUUGGUGGUGAAAUCCCAGAGCUUAACUCUGGAACUGCCAUCAAAACUUUUCAGCUAGAGUAUGAUAGAGGAAAGCAGAAUUUCUAGUGUAGAGGUGAAAUUCGUAGAUAUUAGAAAGAAUACCAAUUGCGAAGGCAGCUUUCUGGAUCAUUACUGACACUGAGGAACGAAAGCAUGGGUAGCGAAGAGGAUUAGAUACCCUCGUAGUCCAUGCCGUAAACGAUGUGUGUUAGACGUUGGAAAUUUAUUUUCAGUGUCGCAGCGAAAGCGAUAAACACACCGCCUGGGGAGUACGACCGC